rnacentral:rRNA from 1 species
UUUGGCUCAGGACGAACGCUGGCGGCAGGCUUAACACAUGCAAGUCGAGCGGAGCGAGGGUGCUUGCACCUUAGCUUAGCGGCGGACGGGUGAGUAAUGCUUAGGAAUCUGCCUAUUAGUGGGGGACAACAUUCCGAAAGGAAUGCUAAUACCGCAUACGCCCUACGGGGGAAAGCAGGGGAUCUUCGGACCUUGCGCUAAUAGAUGAGCCUAAGUCGGAUUAGCUAGUUGGUGGGGUAAAGGCCUACCAAGGCGACGAUCUGUAGCGGGUCUGAGAGGAUGAUCCGCCACACUGGGACUGAGACACGGCCCAGACUCCUACGGGAGGCAGCAGUAGA